GGGGUGAAAGUCGGUUGCUCAACAAUCGAAUGGCCUUUGAAACUGUGUGGCUCGAGUAUAGAUGAGGUAGGCGGAAUGUGUAGUGUAGCGGUGAAAUGCAUAGAUAUUACACAGAACCCCAAUUGCGAAGGCAGCUUUACCAAACUAUUACUGACGCUGAAGCACGAAAGCGUGGGUAGCGAACAGGAUUAGAUACCCUGGUAGUCCACGCCGUAAACUAUGCUCACUCGCUGUUGGCAAUAGAUCGUCAGCGGCUAAGGGAAACCGAUAAGUGAGCCACCUGGGGGGUACGAUCGCAAGAUUGAAACUCAAAGGAAUUGACGGGGGCCCGCACAAGCGGAGGAACAUGUGGUUUAAUUCGAUGAUACGCGAGGAACCUUACCUGGGCUUAAAUGUAGAGUGCAUAAAGUGGAAACAUUUUUUUCCUUCGGGACUCUUUACAAGGUGCUGCAUGGUUGUCGUCAGCUCGUGCCGUGAGGUGUCGGGUUAAGUCCCAUAACGAGCGCAACCCCUAUCGUUAGUUACCAGCACGUAUUGGUGGGGACUCUAGCGAAACUGCCGGUGUAAACCGUGAGGAAGGUGGGGAUGACGUCAAAUCAGCACGGCCCUUAUGUCCAGGGCUACACACGUGUUACAAUGGUCGGUACAGUGGGCAGCCACAUAGCAAUAUGGAGCUAAUCUCAAAAGCCGAUCUCAGUUCGGAUUGGAGUCUGCAACCCGACUCCAUGAAGGUGGAUUCGCUAGUAAUCGCGCAUCAGCCAUGGCGCGGUGAAUACGUUCCCGGGCCUUGUACACACCGCCCGUCAAGCCAUGGAAGUUUGGGGUGCCUGAAGUUCGUAACCGCAAGGAGCGACCUAGGGUAAAACAAAUGACUGGGGCUAAGUCGUNACAAG
rnacentral:rRNA from 1 species